AUUGAACGCUGGCGGCAGGCCUAACACAUGCAAGUCGAGCGGAUGAAGGGAGCUUGCUCCUGGAUUCAGCGGCGGACGGGUGAGUAAUGCCCAGGAAUCUGCCUGGUAGUGGGGGAUAACGUCCGGAAACGGGCGCUAAUACCGCAUACGUCCUGAGGGAGAAAGUGGGGGAUCUUCGGACCUCACGCUAUCAGAUGAGCCUAGGUCGGAUUAGCUAGUUGGUGGGGUAAGGCCUACCAAGGCGACGAUCCGUAACUGGUCUGAGAGGAUGAUCAGUCACACUGGAACUGAGACACGGUCCAGACUCCUACGGGAGGCAGCAGUGGGGAAUAUUGGACAAUGGGCGAAAGCCUGAUCCAGCCAUGCCGCGUGUGUGAAGAAGGUCUUCGGAUUGUAAAGCACUUUAAGUUGGGAGGAAGGGCAGUAAGUUAAUACCUUGCUGUUUUGACGUUACCAACAGAAUAAGCACCGGCUAACUUCGUG
rnacentral:rRNA from 1 species